rnacentral:rRNA from 1 species
AACGAACGCUGGCGGCAUGCCUAACACAUGCAAGUCGAACGAGACCUUCGGGUCUAGUGGCGCACGGGUGCGUAACGCGUGGGAACCUGCCCUUAGGUUCGGAAUACCUCCCCGAAAGGUGUGCUAAUACCGGUUAAUGUCUUCGGACCAAAGAUUUAUCGCCUUUGGAUGGGCCCGCGUUGGCUUAGCUAGUUGGUAGGGUAAAAGCCUACCAAGGCGACGAUGCAUAGCUGGUGUGAGAGGAGGAUAAGUCACACUGGCACUGCGACACGGCCCAGACUGCGACGGGAGGGAGCAGUGGGGAAUAUUGGAGAAUGGGCGAAAGCCUGAUCAAGCAAUGUCGCGUGAGUGAUGAAGGCCGUAGUGUUGUAAAGCUCUUUUAGCCGGGAUGAUAAUGACAGUACCGGGAGAAUAAGCACCGGCUAACUACGUG